rnacentral:rRNA from 1 species
GACGAACCUUGCUAACGUUAUUCGGAAUUACUGGGCUUAAAGGGUGCGUAGGCGGUGCGGAAAGUCGGGUGUGAAAUCCCCCAGCUCAACUGGGGAAUUGCGCCUGAAACUGCCGUGCUCGAGGAAGACAGAGGUACGCGGAACUUAGGGUGGAGCGGUGAAAUGCGUUGAUAUCCUAAGGAACACCGGUGGCGAAAGCGGCGUACUGGGUCUUACCUGACGCUGAGGCACGAAAGCUAGGGUAGCGAACGGG